AGUGACGAUAGCCUAGGAGAUACACCUGUACCCAUGCCGAACACAGUAGUUAAGCCCUAGAACGCCUGAAGUAGUUGGGGGUUGCCCCCUGUUAGAUACGGUAGUCGCUUAGCG
rnacentral:rRNA from 6 species